rnacentral:rRNA from 1 species
CCUACGGGUGGCAGCAGUGAGGAAUAUUGGUCAAUGGUCGCGACACUGAACCAGCCAAGCCGCGUGAAGGAUGACGGUACAGAGUAUCGUAAACCUCUUUUGUCCGGGGACAAACUCAGGCACGUGUCGCCUGUUGCGUGUACCUGAUGAAAAAGCAUCGGCUAACUCCGUGCCAGCAGCCGCGGUAAUACGGAGGAUUCGGGCGUUAUCCGGAUUUAUUGGGUUUAAAGGGUGCGCAGGCCGGCCUUUAAGCCCGUUGUGAAAUCCCGGGGCUCAACCCCGGCACUGCCGUGGAAAUUGGCAGUCUUGAGUGGGAGGGAGGUAUGCGGAAUGCGCGGUGUAGCGGUGAAAUGCAUAGAUAUCGCGCAGAACUCCGAUUGCGAAGGCAGCAUGCCGUCGCCACACUGACGCUGAGGCACGAAAGCGUGGGUAUCGAACAGGAUUAGAUACCCGGGUAGUC